CAAUUGUUCCCAGCUCUUGGUCACAGGCUCAGACAGGCUACCAGAGACCCACAGGCAGCUGCCGUCACGCUCCCAGGAGCCUGCAGCAGAGGUGGUGACAGCAUCAUGGAGGACUAACAAGUAAGACUCUAAGAACAGGUGAACAGCUGAGGACAAUGCAAUUUGUUUGACUCUGCACUGCUUACCAUCGAGCAAACAAUCCAGAGGGCUGCUGCGAGCACAAGAGGGCAGACCAGCACACAUUAUGGAUCUUGCUACCAACAGAGGUCUCAACCUGCUGCUCAAUUUCCUGCUCAUAGUCUUGGUUUUAGUGCUUGCGUUCAUACUUGUGAAGCUGAUGUGAACCUUGGGAGGUUCCACUUCCUUUUCAAAUCUUGUUCUGAGGGCUUGGGGUUCUCUUGCAAUGAUAACAUAAGGAGGUCAAACAAUCUAUCUGACCAGAAAUGUGCCAAGACCGCAUAGACUGAAGUAUCUGACAGAGAAAGUGUUCAGAGGUUUUUCUCAGAAGUGAACCUGAAAGCUACACAAAAUAUUGUCGUGCCAUUGACUAAGGAAAGUACAGAAGGAAAUCCAAGUACACGUAAGCAGUUACUUCAGUCUUCUAAAUGCUGCAGUCAACUUGCACUUAAAGACUUGCAAAAGAUCAGCGUCCUUCAAAAAACAAUUCCAGAUCACCCGUGGAGUGCAAAAGCACAGAUGCUGGGGAUGGAAAAGGAAUACCCUUGAACUGUGGUUUGCAGCAACUGAGAUGUGGACAGGUUAAGUUUAAAUCUGAAAAUGUAAUUUUUAGGGACACUGUUUUUGACACCUGUGGUUCACAGCAACACCUUAAAAGCCAGAAACCAUUCACGUUACACAGCAGUAUCCAUAAGCAGCUGCUGUUAGAUCUAAAACAAACAAAACAAAAAUCAAAAUGAAAAAAGAAGGGCCAGUAGCAAGGGUUAUCAUAACCAUGAAUCCUUUAGCACUGCCACAUAUGUGAGCUGUCAGUGCCUCUGCGUAACAGCAAUGAGAGCAAUGCAUCCUCAACAACUCAGAUUCACCACUUACGCACAGGUCAAGAGCGCUGCGUGGAGCCCUCAAGCUGUUUGACAUGUCACUUGUUGUAUGCAUGCCACAGCAGCAUCGUUACCUACCCACAGCUCAUCCUCACAUCAAGCUGGCAAUGAAAGCUUCCCAUGGGACCUCCCCCUACAGCCCUUCAUAGGAAGACCCGCUUUCUCUACGCUCCCUGGGAAAGGCAGUGACCAAGGAGAGCUCCUUUCUACUAGUUUGCUAAGGCACACAUGGAGAGAAGGGGCCACAAGUAGACUACAAACACCACACUGAAGCCAAGAAGUCUGCUCUUUAGCAUCUCUCUUUUCCCCCAACAAAUUGGGAACCAGAUGUAACAACAUACAUGUAUUGUACUGUAAAUUUAAUGUUAUACACAUGCAUGCAUGCAGGUCUGUUGGUAUGCAGGUGUUGCCCACAGGUGAGGAAAACCCAAUUCCCAGCUCCCUAAUGACAGGAGAGUUCCCUGGUCCAGCAGGUAUGCUGUUGAUACCACAGGCGUCCCCUACAUUACAGAGCUGACCUACUCCAGGUCCACAUAGGAUUGCCAUGCAUUCACUGCUGCUGUGGCUGGUUCAGGUACCCAGAACAGAAGAGACCAUAUCAGCUGGAUCUACAAAAAGACUUAUCAUAGAAGAAAGACAACGUGCUGAGAGAAACAACAUUCAUGCAGGCUCACCAUGACCAGGCACCUAUGUCCCACACCACAUCAUCUCUUUCAGCACCGAAAUAACAUUACAUGGGACAGCACUGAUAAGGAAGUCAAACAGAAGACUCCUCUUGUUCUUUGAAAUGCAAUAAAAAUUUAAAAUAGCUUCUGCUUUUUUAUGUUGAUACAUAAUGUUUGUAUUUAAAGCAGAAAACUUCACACAGUAGUAUCUCUGUAACUAUUUUUUCCACUUAUUCUGAUUAUCUUGAAAUGUUCUGCUUUAAAAAAUCUAGAUUCAUGUGCAUGGGAUAUAUGUUUUAACAGUAAUUCAGUUCCAUAUUAUUUAGAAGAAUUUCUGCUAUUACUUGAAACAGACAAGAUGAAAAAAAAAAUCAAGAAAUUAAGAAAUUGAUAUGAAGCCCACUCUCAUCUGAAGAAGAGUAAGAGUUAGUUUUCAAGUAAAAUGGCUACUCGUUGAUGCAUCUUGAGUAUUUUCUGUUCUUUUGCAUUAACAAGAGCUUCCUUACCUUAUGGAAAUCACUGUGACAGCUGAACAGCUAAAAUGAGCUAAAUGAGCUAGCAUUAAAAAAAAAAACACAACAGAUUUCUUUCAUUAAAAAGGACAAAGUUGAGUCUACUGACUCCACUUAUCACUUAUUUCCAGUUCUAAAAUUAUGCACAAACUCUGCCAUUAGGAUGUAGCUACCCCAUGAACCAACAUCAAGCUUUUCCCAGACAGCAGUGAAAAUCACAGAACCUUAAAUAAAUGUUGAAACAUGCUGCUGAAACUGAAACACGCAUUCUCCUGGGAUGACGCACAAAAUUGGAAGAGCUAUCAGUUAUCCAAUGCCAAGCCUUUUUCUGUAAUCAGCCACGGUCCAAGCUUGGUUUACCACCAUCUGCUAGCACUUAGACUAAGCCCACGUAUUCACUGUGGGUUGAAUCCAUUUGUCAGCCUGCAACCAACCUCACAGCAAAAGAAACAGAGCAUAAAAGCUCACAGCAGUGAACGAAUUCUGUUAACUGUAAGUGGUAACUCUUCACGUUUGAAAGUUUUAUCCUGCCGAAAAGUAUGUUUUCAAAAUUUGUCUUGGGAAAAACAUUUAUGAUGACUUUUUUCUUUUUCUCUACUUCUCUGACCAGUCAGACUCACAAGGAAAAACUACUUUUGGUUCACAUUUCAGAAUAAAAUUCGGUGACAAC